ensembl:snRNA U1 U1 spliceosomal RNA
UUGUAUACAUGGGGAGAUACCAUGAUCACAAAGGUGGCUUUCCCAGGGUGAGGCUCAUACAUCGCACUCUGGAUGUGCUGACCCCUGCGAUUUCCCCAAAUGUCGGAAACUCCACUGCAUAAUUUGUGAGACUGAGGGACAGUGUUUGCAUUUUCCUCUG